ACAACUAUACUUCACAGGAUCAUUUCUGUAGUAAGUCUUCUUUUACUUUUGAAGAAAUUCUAAGUAAUCUCUCUAACGU